CUGCGAGUUCGCGGGAGAGUAAGUUAUUGCCAGGGUUUUUAUUUUAUACUUUAAACAUUGAUUUUAUUUUUUAUGUUUUUAGAUGUUCAUGUUUUUGAAUGUUUUAUUCAAAUAAUAUAAAAAAUAAAAUAUAUAUAUUGACAUGGAUUAAACAAAGAUAUAUAUUAUUCUAUGUUGUAUAAACAAAUUGGCAAAAUAGAGAUGGAAGAUAAAAAUAUGGUCAAAGUAAUAAGAGUCUAUGGUGAAUGCCUAGGA
rnacentral:misc_RNA from 1 species